GACGAACGCUGGCGGCGGGCUUAACACAUGCAAGUCGAACGGUGAAGCUAGUGCUUGCACGCGUGGAUGAGUGGCGAACGGGUGAGUAACACGUGAGGAACCUGCCCAUCACUCUGGGAUAAGCACUGGUAACGGUGUCUAAUACUGGAUACGAGCAACCCUUGCAAGGGGUGGUGGUGGAAAGAUUUAUCGGUGAUGUAUGGACUCGCGGCCUAUCAGCUUGUUGGCGGGGUAAUGGACCACCAAGGCUACGACGGGUAGCGGGCCUGAGAGGGUGACCUGCCACACUGGGACUGAGACGCGGCACAGACCCCUCUGCGACGCAGCAGCGCGGAAUAUUGCACUAUGCGCGAAAGGCUGCUGCAGCGAAGCCGCGUGAGGGAUGACGGCCUUCGGGUUGUAAACCUAUUUCAGCAGGGAAGAAGCGAAAGUGACGGUACCUGCAGAAGAAGCCCCGGCUAACUACGUG
rnacentral:rRNA from 1 species